GAUGAACGCUGGCGGCGUGCUUAACACAUGCAAGUCGAACGGGAAACCUUUUAUUGAAGCUUCGGCAGAUUUAGCUGGUUUCUAGUGGCGGCCGGGUGAGUAACGCGUGGGUAACCUGCCUUAUACAGGGGGAUAACAGUCAGAAAUGGCUGCUAAUACCGCAUAAGCGCACAGAGCUGCAUGGCUCAGUGUGAAAAACUCCGGUGGUAUAAGAUCGACCCGCGUUGGAUUAGCUGGUUGGUGGGGUAACGGCCCACCAAGGCGACGAUCCAUAGCCGGCCUGAGAGGGUGAACGGCCACAGUGGGACUGAGACACGGCCCAGACUCCUACGGGAGGCAGCAGUGGGGAAUAUUGCACAAUGGGGGAAACCCUGAUGCAGCGACGCCGCGUGAAGGAAGAAGUAUCUCGGUAUGUAAACUUCUAUCAGCAGGGAAGAUAAUGACGGUACCUGACUAAGAAGCCCCGGCUAACUACGUG
rnacentral:rRNA from 1 species